UACGAAGGGGGCUAGCGUUGUUCGGAAUUACUGGGCGUAAAGGGCUCUUAGGCGGCCAACUAAGUCGGAUGUGAAAUCCCCAGGCUUAACCUGGGAACUGCAUCCGAUACUGGAUGGCUUGAAUCCGGGAGAGGGAUGCGGAAUUCCAGGUGUAGCGGUGAAAUGCGUAGAUAUCUGGAGGAACACCGGUGGCGAAGGCGGCGUCCUGGACCAACACUGACACUGAGGAGCGAAAGCCAGGGGAGCAAACGGG
rnacentral:rRNA from 1 species